rnacentral:rRNA from 1 species
GAUGAACGCUGGCGGCGUGCCUAACACAUGCAAGUCGAGCGGCAGCGAGGGGUGCUUGCACCCUGUCGGCGAGCGGCGGACGGCUGAGUAGCGCGUGGGAACGUGCCCCAAAGUGAGGAAUAACUGCCCGAAAGGGUAGCUAAUACCGCAUAUUAUCUUCGGAUCAAAGGAUUUAUCCGCUUUGGGAGCGGCUCGCGUCGGAUUAGGUAGUUGGUGAGGUAAUGGCUCACCAAGCCGACGAUCCGUAGCUGGUCUGAGAGGAUGACCAGCCAGACUGGAACUGAGACACGGUCCAGACUCCUACGGGAGGCAGCAGUGAGGAAUCUUCCACAAUGGGCGAAAGCCUGAUGGAGCAACGCCGCGUGCAGGACGAAGGCCUUCGGGUUGUAAACUGCUUUUAUAAGUGAGGAAUAUGACGGUAACUUAUGAAUAAGGAUCGGCUGACUACGUG